rnacentral:tRNA from 1 species
CAGGGAGACAACAAAAUGUUUAAUAUUAUUAUUUUGUCACCUUAGGUCGAUCGGUAUCUCACGUUCUUAAUUUAUUAAGAAUUUCAUUUCCUAAGUUUUUCUAGGUCACACCCAUUAUUUUCCCUGGGCCAUUAGCUCAGGUGGUUAGAGCGCACCCCUGAUAAGGGUGAGGUCCCUGGUUCAAGUCCAGGAUGGCCCAUAUCUCUAUGUUGGGGGUAUAGCUCAGUUGGUAGAGCGCCUGCUUUGCAAGCAGGAUGUCAGCGGUUCGAGUCCGCUUACCUCCACUGAUUACCACCUCUUCCAUAUUUUGUAGAAAGGGAAUUUUUUGAGUUGUGAUCAAAUUCCGAACGAUUCUAGCUUCCUAAUGAAAUCAUUAAGAUGCUGGACUCAUUGAAUUUAUUUCAUUGUUUUCAGAGAACCUUGACAACUGCAUAGAUUAUUUUUAAAGACAAUAAGCAUCUUUAAUGAUGCAGAUUUAUUAUUUGUGCAAAUGCAUUAAUAACAAUUCUAUUAAGCUGAUGCUUCA